GGGGCCAGUCCUGCUGUCCUUUCAGAGAGGACUUUGAAGUGACAUCAUUUCAGGAUCAGGGGCUCAAGAUGGUCCAUACCUGUGGGGGUUACAGAUCAACCUAGCAGUCACCCAGCUGCUCUGUCUGACCAAAAUAGUUACCUCCUGUGUUAGCUCUCCCAGAGGUGUGAUACUGAAACUGAGGUGGUGUCCACUAACACAAGGGGUGUUGCUCUUUCUCCCGGGUGUAGCCAGCAGUCCGGAUGCUGUGCACGUCGUGCUGGACAGGCACCUGGUGACAGGACAGAAUGAGAAUUCCACUCUUCCUGCCGUCCAGAAUCUUCUCAUUCUUUGCAAUGUCAGGUGAAUGUGUGUUACAAGUCCUGUCCUGGCUGUGGACUAACAGGUCGUGUCAUGUUUGGAUGUGUUUCCUUCAGCAGGAAAUGAAGGAGCGGGUCCCUUUGCAAAUGGGCUGGAUGAAGAGCCAGCAGGGCUAAGGACUUGCUUGUCUGUUACCUGGAUAAAACAGCCCUCUCAAAUUCUGUUCUGGACUGUGAAGUGGCUGUGACAGUGAAGUGGCAAUGUCAGGUUUUGUAUAUAUAGAGUGGCUGAAGGUUGUGGAUAAGGAGACUUUGAAGUGCAUCACGCUUCAGAAGAAACCUUGCCUUUUUGUUGCUACAUCUUCUUUUCACCGCUUCUCCCUAGACCCUUAACUUAACAGAUGUGGGAACUGUGGCUUGUUAAAAAAACACACAUAUUUGGUGCUAUGAAUACAAAUUGCUGAAGCUGAAGACUCUGCUCUAGGCUGAUCAUUUGUAACUCUGCCCCAAAGAGGACCUGGAACUCUGUGAACAGUCUGGCGCUUGUGUUUCAAAUAUCAAAAAUCUACACCCAGAGCUUCAUUGAAAUGCAAGAUGCAGUCUCACCUUGCUUUUGGUAGGUCACAAAGUUACCGUCUGAACUCUGAAAUGGCUCUGGGACACUUGGAUGUACUUGGAAUAGGAUGGAAAAUGCUUAUGUGAACUCUGAAUAAAGCAGAACCAGUUGUUUGAAGGCAGCUCCCUGCGGUGAUACUGGCAGCAUAAUGUGCCCUUGUUUUCUUCCAUGCCUGUUCACAUUGUUUGACUUCUGUUGUACAAGUUUGCUCAGCUGUUUUUUAAAUGGUCUUCUAACUGGUUAUCUGUCCUCCUUUGUGGUGCUUAUGUUACGGGUUUUGUUCUCUUUGGAAUGUUUGAAAUAUUUCUCUCUGGCCAGUACAUUGUGGUUGUCUCUUGCUGGAAUUCUGUGGACAAAGGAAGAAGAAAAAUAUGGAGGCAGCUACUGUGGAUCACGUCUUCUGAGGAACCAGCUGUAAGAUGAAAUCUGGCCUGCUCUUUCCUUUGGAGCAGCAGAUGCAGCUUGCAGUUGAGCAUGAAAAGGAAUAAUGAGGCCAAAAAUAUUUUCUGCUGUUUCAGGCUCAAACAUAAUAAAUCUCUGGGAAAGCAGA